rnacentral:rRNA from 1 species
CCUACAGGAGGCAGCAGUGGGGAAUAUUGCACAAUGGGGGAAACCCUGAUGCAGCGACGCCGCGUGAGUGAGGAAGUAUUUCGGUAUGUAAAGCUCUAUCAGCAGGGAAGAAAAUGACGGUACCUGACUAAGAAGCCCCGGCUAACUACGUGCCAGCAGCCGCGGUAAUACGUAGGGGGCAAGCGUUAUCCGGAUUUACUGGGUGUAAAGGGAGCGUAGACGGCUAAUCAAGUCAGAAGUGAAAACCCAGGGCUCAACCUUGGGACUGCUUUUGAAACUGAGUAGCUAGAGUGCAGGAGAGGUAAGCGGAAUUCCUAGUGUAGCGGUGAAAUGCGUAGAUAUUAGGAGGAACACCAGUGGCGAAGGCAGCAUACCGGCGCCCAACUGACGCUGAAGCACGAAAGCGUGGGUAUCGAACAGGAUUAGAUACCCCUGUAGUC